GGGGUCUUAGCUCAGUGGUAGAGCGCUCGCUUUGCACUUCUGGAAAGUGCGAGAGGUCUGGAGUUCGAUCCUCCAAGUCUCCA